GGAUGUGAGGGCGAUCUGGCUGCGACAUCUGUCACCCCAUUGAUCGCUAGGGUUGAUUCAGCUGAUCUGGCUGGCUAGGCGGGUGUCCCCCUCCUCCCUCACCGAUCCAUGUGCGUCCCUCCCGAAGCUGCGCGCUCGGUCGAAGAGGACGACCUUCCCCCCCGAGGAGAGGACCGGUCUUCGGUCAAGGGUAUACGAGUAGCUGCGCUCCCCUGCUAGAACCUCCAAAAAUAAAUAAAUAAAUGCAGGUGAUGAGUCACCUGUUGAUUUCACGCCUGCAUCACAGCCAGUCUGUGGCAGGUUCGCUGUGGAG
rnacentral:snRNA from 1 species